rnacentral:rRNA from 1 species
AAAAGUACUUUGAAAAGAGAGUGCAAUAGAACGUGAAACCGGUGUAAUGGAAGCGAAUGGAGCCGACGUAUCUGGUGCGUAUUCAGUUGUCGGGCAUCGUAAUUGCUGUUGUUGGCUUUCCGCAAGGUGGUCGCAGUGGUAGUGUUGCGGUGUUUGGCGAUGCACUUGCGUACGGAGUGCGCCAAGUCGUGCGGUGCUGUCGGCCGAAGCGUCACUAGAGGGCAGUUCUUNGGAGCUGAAACCUGGAGGCGUGUGGGUCGGUUGGUGCUGCGCGGUUUUGUGGAGUCGUAGGUUUUUCGCGUGUUGUUGUGUUGAUGCGGUUGGUUUGUGACGUACGCAUGCGUGCUGCACUUAUGGGCCGUGUCGGCGUGGCGAUGUGCUCUGCGCUCUACUUGGUGUAUAGUCGGUGACCCAUUCGACCCGUCUUGAAACACGGACCAAGGAGUUUAUGGUAUACGCAAGUUAUUGGGCUUUGAAACCCAAAGGCGUAAUGAAAGUGAGACCUUAUUGGUUUGAAUGCGAUCGGUUGUCGUUUCGACGGCGGCCGAGCAGUAUUGCCCCGUUUCGUGGACUUGUCCUGUUGCGGAGGUUGAGCGUAUGCUAUGAGACCCGAAAGAUGGUGAACUAUGCCUGAACAGGAUGAAGCCAGAGGAAACUCUGGUGGAAGUCCGAAGCGGUUCUGACGUGCAAAUCGAUCGUCUGAUUUUGGUAUAGGGGCGCAAGACUAAUCGAACUAUC